rnacentral:rRNA from 1 species
UACGUAGGGUGCGAGCGUUAAUCGGAAUUACUGGGCGUAAAGCGUGCGCAGGCGGUUUUGUAAGCCAGAUGUGAAAUCCCCGGGCUUAACCUGGGAAUGGCAUUUGGGACUGCAAGGCUUGAGUGCGGCAGAGGAGACUGGAAUUCCUGGUGUAGCAGUGAAAUGCGUAGAUAUCAGGAGGAACACCGAUGGCGAAGGCAGGUCUCUGGGCUGACACUGA